rnacentral:rRNA from 1 species
GAGGCUUCGGCAAUGGGGGAAACCCUGACCGAGCGACGCCGCGUGGAGGAUGAAGGCCCCUGGGUUGUAAACUCCUUUUGCUGGGGAAGAAACGCGAUCAGGUGAACAAUCUGGUCGUUUGACGGUACCCGGCGAAUAAGCUACGGCUAACUCCGUGCCAGCAGCCGCGGUAACACGGGGGGAGCAAGCGUUGUUCGGAAUCACUGGGCGUAAAGGGCGUGUAGGCGGUCAGGUAAGUGGGAUGUGAAAUCCCUCGGCUCACCCGAGGACCUGCAUCCCAAACUGCUUGGCUUGAGUAUGGGAGAGGAUGAGGGAAUUCCUGGUGUAGCGGUGAAAUGCGUAGAUAUCAGGAGGAACACCGGUGGCGAAAGCGCUCAUCUGGCCCAAUACUGACGCUGAGGCGCGAAAGCUAGGGGAGCAAACGGG